AAAUUUCGUUGCGAAAUGUUGUAAAAUGCGGAUAAUAUAGCCCUGCGAAGUUUGCCGUUUUCAGUUCAGUCAUUUUGUAUUAUACGCAUGGGAAAUUGAUAUACCGCUUUCUGAAAAAAGGUAUCAAUUUCCCGCGCGUAAUACAAAAUGACUGAAAAACGGCAAACUUCACAGGGCUAUAUUAUCCGCAUCAUACAAUAUUUCGCAACGAAACUU